AUCACAGGGAGAAGCCAUGAAGCUGUAGGGUGCAGAGAGCUGAGCCGAGACCUCCUGAGGCUGCUCAGAGGGCAGAGGUGCUGCUUCAGGCAGCCAGAUUUCCCUCCCGCCUCCCUUUUCAGGUCACCAACUCCCCAAAUUCACUUGUGGAGUUGGUGGUGGGCAUCACCACCACAUCAGCCCUGGAGGGCCUUUAAGCCAGACACUGUGGGUGCCUUCUAGGACUGAAAGCCUAACCGGCGUUCUAUCUGUUUUCAGACACAGCUGAACAAAAUGAUUCAGAGAAUAUUGGAGCCCGAGGAAGCAAAUGCUCUCAUCACAUUCCCGUUUCGCUGCUGGAAAACAAAUCCAUCUUUCCCAGGAGCAGCAUAUAAGGCAAGUGAAUCUGGCUUGUGUCACGGUGGGACCAGCGUGUUUACAGCACAAGUAUUCCUGCGCAGGAACACUCCGGGAUCCAUCUGGCUGUUUAUCAUCUCCCUGUCUCACUGCAGAGCUUUCUAUGCAGUGCAGCCUCCAGGUCCUUGGAUAACCCCAGCCCAGGAACAGCAGCAGCGAUGCGCUGAGCCCGAUGCUGAGCCCCGAUCAGGCACGGAGGAGGCAGAAAGCACCGUGCUCCUCUGCGGCGAGGAUCCCCACACCCAUCCCCAGAUCCCCGCAUCCGGGAGCGCUGCCAACAGGCUGCUUUCAGGAGCUGCAGACAGGAAACGGCAAAGGAUCCAAAGGCCCGAACAGACUCCUCCAUUAACUUCUGCCUAUUCUGGUACGAGUGUCUCAAUUCCGGAAGAUCUACCAUGAAGAAACUUAUGUCUUCUGUUUAAAGCUUUUCCCUGGAGACAGUCCCUAUGCAAAGGACACCACAAAAACCACCACGGUGGCAUUACCAAACCCAGUGUCCCUCCUUCCUGAAAGAACAGUGGAAAAAAGUCAAGGGACUGAGAACUGGAAAACUUUGGUUUGCCUAUCAGGAGGUAUAUUUGGAAAUAUUACGGACAAUAAAAAUCUGUUCUUCAAGAAAGCCUCAAACUGACCGCUUUGUUCGAGGCAUAUGGAAAUUCCUGUUCCCGUUCUCCAACAAAAGACCCCAGAGCCCUAAAUCCUGCUAAUAUUUCCGAGCAGAGAAGGUUCCCUAUGCAGAGAUCCCCCCCCGCCCCGACCGAAGGGUGCUGUUUGCAGCAGAAAAUAAGAGCAAAGCAGCUGUAAUUCUUUGAAAGGAAAACAGAACAGAAAACAAUCUAUAAAAGGCUCUUUGUGGUAAUUUAUCACACAUGUUUAUUUCUUUGCAUGAAAUAGCUCCGGAGCAGAACCAGCGCCAGAUUCCUGUGUUGCUGUCAGAGCCACCAAUACGGAUCUGUUUCCAUUUCCAGUCUCCCCUUAUAUUGGCUAAGACCGAGUCACGAGGCAGAAAUCUCCCCCUCUGCAUUUUAACAGCAGGCACAGCCUGACCUUGUUCCCAGAAGCGGGAACACCGCCGCUCUCUUGCUUGCUCCCCCUCCUCCCCGAGCCGCAGCACCCGGCGCAGGCAGCCCGGCCCUGCAGGGUGCCACGCGCUGCCGGCAAACCCUGGGGACUUGUUGCUGAAAAACCCUUCAAAUCCAAGAGGCACGCUUCG